GGUGCUCUGCGGGAUGCGCAGGGGUGUAAUCAUUACGAUUGGAUCCCUGGCAUUGAGACCCGGGAGUUGUCACCGGUCCGCUGUGUGCAUGCCCGGUUGAGCCGGGAAGCCUGAGGCGGCCAUACGACGCCCACCUAUCGGUUCGGGUUUCAAUCGCCGCUCCUGACGGUCCGGGCGGAGCACCG
rnacentral:other from 1 species